rnacentral:lncRNA from 1 species
CCUCCUUGGUCUUUUCUUUCAAAACUCAAAUCCUUUCUACUCAAAACCAUACAAACAUGUAAAAACAUUUUAGAAAACCUUUACUUUACCCUUAUAGAGAGCUCCGACAUUCGAGAUUCCACCAGACGGUAAGAAUUUCGAUGCCUGAGUCUAGCCGGGUAUUACAAUUAACCUGUCAGCAAUCAUUAUUAACUACUCUUUGUUCUGGAUAAUUAUUCGAUCGAUGACCAAGUUGCCUGCAGCGAUAACAUAUAUCUCUCGUCAGUUUUUUAUAAGGAUUGGUUUUGCCUCCUUUGUAUUAUGUAAUGGUGACUGCUUUUCCUUACUGUCUCUCCUCUCUUCCAUAGUAUUAUGAAAAUUGCCAGAAUUUACAACCUUAGAAGGCUGUCCACUGUAAUUACCUCUAUACUGCUGAGUUUCUGUCGAACUGAAAUUUCUAUAAUUAAAAUUUCGAUUAGACUAAGGUAGAGGCUGCCAAUCAACACGUCCUUUAACUCUUUCUGCCAUCUCAAUGGCAUCUGCCAAAGUGAAGAUCACAGCUACUCCCAUCAUACAACGAAUUUCAU